GACGAACGCUGGCGGCAUGCCUAACACAUGCCAGUCGAACGGAGAUUAUUUCGGUAAUCUUAGUGGCGAACGGGUGAGUAACGCGUGGGCAACCUGCCCUCUAGAUGGGGACAACAUCCCGAAAGGGGUGCUAAUACCGAAUGUGACAGCAAUCUCGCAUGAGGAUGCUGUGAAAGAUGGCCUCUAUUUAUAAGCUAUCGCUAGAGGAUGGGCCUGCGUCUGAUUAGCUAGUUGGUGGGGUAACGGCCUACCAAGGCGAUGAUCAGUAGCCGGUCUGAGAGGAUGAACGGCCACAUUGGGACUGAGACACGGCCCAGACUCCUACGGGAGGCAGCAGUGGGGAAUCUUCCGCAAUGGGCGAAAGCCUGACGGAGCAAUGCCGCGUGAGUGAUGAAGGAAUUCGUUCCGUAAAGCUCUUUUGUUUAUGACGAAUGUGCAGAUUGUGAACAAUGAUCUGUAAUGACGGUAGUAAACGAAUAAGCCACGGCUAACUACGUG
rnacentral:rRNA from 1 species